AACACGCACCAUAAACUUAGGCACUGAAGAAGUAAAAAGGGAACUUAAGAUAGUGGAGAGUGAGGAGUUGGGAGAUAUGAUCGGUCUGCUUAAGGAAUUUCUCGACGUAUUUUCAUGGAGCUAUGAUGAUAUGGUCGGUUUGGACCCUCAGAUAGUGACGCACAAGAUUCCCUUAAUCCCAGGAACGAUUCCGGUAAAGCAGAAACUAAGGAGGAUGAAUCCCGACACACUGCUUAAGGUUCGGGAUGAAGUCAAGAAA
rnacentral:misc_RNA from 1 species